rnacentral:tRNA from 2 species
AGGCGCAUAGCUCAGUUGGUAGAGCGCUACCCCGACACGGUAGAAGUCUCCGGUUCAAGUCCGGAUGCGCCUACCA